UGGGGAAUAUUGGACAAUGGGCGCAAGCCUGAUCCAGCCAUGCCGCGUGAGUGAUGAAGGCCCUAGGGUUGUAAAGCUCUUUCACCGGUGAAGAUAAUGACGGUAACCGGAGAAGAAGCCCCGGCUAACUUCGUGCCAGCAGCCGCGGUAAUACGAAGGGGGCUAGCGUUGUUCGGAUUUACUGGGCGUAAAGCGCACGUAGGCGGACUAUUAAGUCAGGGGUGAAAUCCCGGGGCUCAACCCCGGAACUGCCUUUGAUACUGGUAGUCUUGAGUUCGGGAGGGGUGAGUGGAAUUCCGAGUGUAGAGGUGAAAUUCGUAGAUAUUCGGAGGAACACCAGUGGCGAAGGCGGCUCACUGGCUCGAUACUGACGCUGAGGUGCGAAAGCGUGGGGGGCAAACAGG
rnacentral:rRNA from 1 species